rnacentral:rRNA from 1 species
AGUUUCCUACGGGGGGCAGCAGUGAGGAAUAUUGGUCAAUGGGAGAGAUCCUGAACCAACCACGCCACGUGAGGGAAGACGGCCUUAUGGGUUGUAAACCUCUUUUGUCGGAGAACAAAACCCGGGACGUGUCCCGGACUGCGUGUAUCCGAAGAAAAAGCAUCGGCUAACUCCGUGCCAGCAGCCGCGGUAAUACGGAGGAUGCGAGCGUUAUCCGGAUUUAUUGGGUUUAAAGGGUGCGUAGGCGGUCCGUUAAGUCAGCGGUAAAAUUGCGGGGCUCAACCCCGUCGAGCC